rnacentral:rRNA from 1 species
GACGAACGCUGGCGGCGUGCUUAACACAUGCAAGUCGAACGGUGACGAGGAGCUUGCUCCUCCGAUCAGUGGCGAACGGGUGAGUAACACGUGAGCAACCUGCCCCAGACUCUGGGAUAACAGUUGGAAACAGCUGCUAAUACCGGAUACGAGACGGAGAGGCAUCUCUACCGUCUGGAAAGUUUUUCGGUCUGGGAUGGACUCGCGGCCUAUCAGCUAGUUGGUGAGGUAAUGGCUCACCAAGGCGACGACGGGUAGCCGGCCUGAGAGGGCGACCGGCCACACUGGGACUGAGACACGGUCCAGACUCCUACGGGAGGCAGCAGUGGGGAAUAUUGGGCAAUGGGGGAGACCCUGACCCAGCGACGCCGCGUGAGGGAUGAAGGUUUUCGGAUCGUAAAGCCCUGUCAGGAGGGAAGAAGUUCUGACUGUACCUCCAGAGGAAGCCCCGGCUAACUACGUG